UACGUAGGGUGCGAGCGUUGUCCGGAAUUACUGGGCGUAAAGAGCUCGUAGGUGGUUUGUCGCGUUGUUCGUGAAAACUCACAACUCAAUUGUGGGCGUGCGGGCGAUACGGGCAGACUGGAGUACUGCAGGGGAGACUGGAAUUCCUGGUGUAGCGGUGGAAUGCGCAGAUAUCAGGAGGAACACCGGUGGCGAAGGCGGGUCUCUGGGCCUUACCUGACGCUGAGGCGCGAAAGCUAGGGGAGCAAACAGG
rnacentral:rRNA from 1 species